ensembl:lncRNA LINC01483 long intergenic non-protein coding RNA 1483
CCGCGAAUGUCUAAGGUUGGCUGGCCAGCAGAGUUUGGACGGUUGAACACACUUUUUGGUUCUGCCUCUGCAUGGUGGCCAGUUUCACAAAGAGGCUGCAGGAAGCUGCUUCCAGCAGUCUGAGUCCUGAGGAGGAGACGAUAACAGUGGGAGAAGCACCUGGUAACAGCGGCACUUCAUCCAGGAAGAAAACAGGAUCUAAAAUAUAAACAACAUCCUUACAACACAAAAUAUGAGCGUCCAUCAUGGACCAACCAAUAACUUCAAUAAAAGUGCUGUAUCCCCUGGCAGAUG